AUGGCUGCAAACCGAAAGAAGCUGAUUUUGGGGGAUGUUGCCCGUGGGAAGGCCUGCCUGUUCAUUGUCUUCAGCAAGGAUCAGUUUCCAGAGGUCCACGUCCCCACUGCCUUUGAGAACUAUAUUGUGGACAUUGAAGAGGAUGGCAAACAGGUAGAGCUGGCUUUGUGGGACACAGCAAGAAGGCUAUGAUCAACUGUGGCCUCUCUCCCACCCCGACACUGAUGCCAUCCUCAUGUGCUUCUCCAUCCACAGCCUCGACAGCCUGGAAAACAUUCCUGAGAAGUGGACCCCAGAGGUGAAGCCCUUCUGCCCCAACGUGCCGGUCAUCCUAGUGGGGAAUAAGGACGUGAGGCAAGAUGAUCACACCAGGAGAGAGCUGGCCAAGACGAAGCAGGAGCCCGUUCAGUCUGAGGAAGGCCGAGACACGGCGAAUCGGAUCAGUGCCUUUGGCUGCCUUGAGUGCUCAGCCAAGACCAAGGAGGGAGUGCGGGAGGUGUUUGAGACGGCCACUGGGGCUGGCCUCCAGGUCUGCAAGAACAAGCACGGGAGGGGUGUCCCAUUCUCUGAGACCCCCAAGGCCUCUCCUAUAUGCCCCCUCCCUUCACAGGGGUACAGAAAUUAUCACCCUACACCUCCAGCCUCCUGAAGGCUCCAUGCUGAUGGCUUUCUUCUCAGUUCCCUCCUGCCCAGGACUGCAUUGAAGUUUCCCAGCCCCAAGAUGGUGGCCCGGGCCCUCCCUCCCAGUGCUCUGGGAGCCAGGCCUUGCCCUGCCCUUCCUCAGGACCCCUUGGGCUCGUUCCCCUUUAGUCUUCCCCAGAGGAUGGUCACACACCAGCACUUUAUACACUUCCGCCUCAACAGGAAAGUGUCUGCGGUAGGGGACGCAAGAGUCCCAGCCCCUGGAGUUGUUUUCGGCAAGGACCUUGUCUCUGACUGCAUUUGGUCAUGGAGGCCUGAAUAAAGGCCACAGGCUCUAAAAAAAAAAAAA